UACAGGGGGGGCAAGCGUUGUUCGGAAUUACUGGGCGUAAAGGGCUCGUAGGUGGCCAACUAAGUCAGACGUGAAAUCCCUCAGCUUAACUGGGGAACUGCGUCUGAUACUGGAUGGCUUGAGUUUGGGAGAGGGAUGCGGAAUUCCAGGUGUAGCGGUGAAAUGCGUAGAUAUCUGGAGGAACACCGGUGGCGAAGGCGGCAUCCUGGACCAAUACUGACACUGAGAAGCGAAAGCGUGGGGAGCGAACAGG
rnacentral:rRNA from 1 species